GCAAGUCGAACGGUAACAUUGGAGCUUGCUCCAGAUGACGAGUGGCGCACGGGUGAGUAACGCGUACACAAUCUACCUUCAAGAGGGGGAUAGCCUUUGGAAACGAAGAUUAAUACCCCAUAGUAUUACCUAUUUCUCGAAAUUGGUAAUUAAAGCUUCGGUGCUUGAAGAUGAGUGUGCGUCCCAUUAGCUAGUUGGUAAGGUAACGGCUUACCAAGGCGACGAUGGGUAGGGGGCGUGAGAGCGUGACC
rnacentral:rRNA from 1 species